UCCAGACUCCUACGGGAGGCAGCAGUCGGGAAUAUUGCGCAAUGGAGGAAACUCUGACGCAGUGACGCCGCGUGCAGGAAGAAGGUUUUCGGAUUGUAAACUGCUUUAGACAGGGAAGAUAAUGACAGUACCUGUAGAAUAAGCUCCGGCUAACUACGUGCCAGCAGCCGCGGUAAUACGUAGGGAGCAAGCGUUAUCCGGAGUGACUGGGUGUAAAGAGUUGCGUAGGUGGCAUAAUAAGUAGCUAGUGAAAUCUGGUGGCUCAACCAUUCAGACUAUUAGCUAAACUGUUAAGCUCGAGACCGUUAGGGGUAACUGGAAUUUCUAGUGUAGGAGUGAAAUCCGUAGAUAUUAGAAGGAACACCGAUAGCGUAGGCAGGUUACUGGGACGGUUCUGACACUAAGGCACGAAAGCGUAGGGAGCAAACGGGAUUAGAUACCCUCGUACC
rnacentral:rRNA from 1 species